rnacentral:misc_RNA from 1 species
CAAAUAAACAUCGGGGUUGUUGCUGCCUUUCGCGGUGACGCUUCGGAAUUGGGUCGCCUUUGCCUUCCUUUCGGUUAAGUGACCUAAAAUUUCGCGUGAUUUUUCGAACGUAUUUGAAUUUUUUACGUACGUUUGUGAUAUCGAAUACUAGAUGCGGUCAUUCCCAUGAUUCGCGUCUAUAAUUAUUUCAUC